GUAAAGACGACGCUGUGGAACACGGGCAGUUUUUCUCAGCUGCUUCGGUACAUUUCUCGGAUCAGAACUGAAACUGUCAGCACCACGUCUUCAACCUCCUCAUCAUCUAGUCACGUUCAUGCAGUUGAUUAUGUGCAGCUGUUUGCAGUUCCCUACAUUAUCAACUGCUUCUGUCAUGUUCAUCAAAAUAUAUUAUACUGCUUCUCUGUGGAAAAGUCUUUACCCCCCAGAACAUCUGGACAUCACUUCACUGCAUAAAUCAUUCGGUGCGACACGGCUGAGCCAGUUCUCCUAGAUGUAUAGACAGUAGGAGAUACUGGCAGUGUGAGUACGCUGUUAUAUUGACAACACGGCUACGCGUUCUCUCUACCUUGGCGUUCUCACGGCCCGGAGAUGUUCCCAGACUGAAAUAUUUACUUCCGAGAGAUGAUUCCGAGCAAGUUGCAUGCUUUUGCAGGGAGCGUUUGCGUUGUGUGGUGUUCGGAGAAAAGCGCUUACUUAAACGCACUUGAAUGUUAAGCGCGAUUCGGGGAAAUGUACCGAGGCGACCGAGGAAAAAAACUAACACCGGAGAAUAAACCAAACCACAUUUCCUGUACACGUCGUGUAUUCGUUAAUAAAUCAGCAUGACACGUUCAAUUCGAAUAUUUUAUGUUGUUAUAUAAAAUUCAAAUUCAAAGCCUUUCAGGAAACCACAGUGCCAAAGUGCUGAACGCCUCUUACACAAAGCGUGCUCCUCAGGAGUUUACGUAUCUUCAGUUUUAGCAAGGAGCCGCUGUUUUAGAGUCACCAAACAGUGGCCAGAUGUAAGAUUAUUACUAGUCCUCCGUACGAAAGAGUCCGCUAAAUGAGACUGCUUUACUUGUGUAACUGUGUACACGUUUAAUCAGACGUUUUAAACAAUAACAUCUGACCUAAAGGUAUGAACUCAUUCUGUACCAGCUGACAUGAGAGAGAGAGGGAGAGAGAGAGGGAGAGACAGAGAGAGAUAGAGAAAGACAGAGAGAGAUAAAGAGAGAGAGAAAGACAGACACAGAGAGAGACACAGAGACAGAUAGAGAGAGAGAGAGAGAGAGAGAGAGAGAGAGAGACACUAACAGUGUAAAACUAUUCGAGCGGUCUGAAGCUCCACUGUGAAGUUAUUUAUGUGUAAACACACUGUUGGCUUCCUGUAGGCCGUGUCUUAGUGGUGUGUUUAUUUAUUUAUUUAUUUAAUACGAGCAACAGAAAAGACACAUGAAGUGAGAAGGGGUUCGUCGGUUCGUCGGUUCGUCGGUUUGUUGGUGUUUUUGUUUGUGUUUAUUUUUAAUUGUAACGGAUUUAAGUGGUACACGCUGGGCCUCGGGGUGUGGCGUUUGGCCUAAUCCUCCUUUGAGCUGUACAUAACUCUGAUUAAGCACUCACACACACUCUCACACACUCUCACACACACACACACACACACACGCACACACACACACACACACACUGCAGGCCAACAGCCGAGAGCGGGGAAGUUAUUUUGAGAUUUAAAAAUGUAUCCUCGGUUGCCAGAAAUCGGUUCUUACUUUGCUUUUCGGCAGCAAAACAACCGUCAGUCAUCUCCGUGUGUGUGUGUGUGUGUGUGUGUGUGUGUGUUUAUUUUAGAGCGUGUUCUAAAUUAAUUGCUUUAAAAAAAAAAAAAACAUAAAAAGAAAGCUUAAAGGUACGUGUGUUAAUCCAAGAGGAUUUAUAUUUGAACUAUUUAAAAAAAAAAAAGGUUAAUAUUCAUCUGUAGAAAUAUAAUAAAUUUAUAAUAAAUAAAUAUAAUGUUGUAUAGCAGCAAGUAGAUAUGGUUACAGAUGUUUAAUAUACGUCUGAUAAUAAAUGUGUCACAGUUCGGUUCUGUCGUCCUGCCGGCUUCUUCGUUCACGGUUCCUCCCGUUUAGCGCUCCACUUGUCCUUAUAUGGUCGCUGUUUCCUGUUCUGGUGUGCUUGUUACUUUACCAGUGUCACCUGUGGCGUGUUCCCUUUAACGGGUUUCUCCGUUUAAGCUCUCGGUGUGGCGUUAUGGUGUUACGGUGCGAGCCGUGUGUUGCUUUCGUAGCUGUGUUUAGAGUUUCCUUUUCCUUUUCUGUCCACGCUGGAGUUCAAGAACAAACAAAUGAGCAGGAGGUGGAUUUCAAUCGGCGAGAUGUUCCUGCGUUCCUCGUUUAACAAAAACAGAAACGCUUGAGCAGUGUGACUAGUGUACUAACGAAACAUUUACCCACAAUUCCUCUCUUUCUUUCUUUCUUUCCUUGGGUUCUUCUAGUUAUUUUGUUCGUGCUUUCAUUCCGUUCUUUCAUUCGAAUUAUUCCGUCAUUGCGUUCUUUCUUUUCUUCAUUUGCGCGGUUCUCGUUCGGUUCCUUCACUCGGGUUUCUCAUUUACUUUGUUCUUCCGUCGCUUCUUUCUUUUGUUCAUUCGCUCAGUUCUUUCUUUCAGUUCUUUGGCGGUCGUACAGUAGAGUGGUGAGUGUUUAUGACCCCACUGACCCCGGUGUCACAUGUAGACAUUUUAGAGAUAAA
ensembl:lncRNA